rnacentral:lncRNA from 1 species
UUUCUGGUCUGGCUGGGGUGAGUGACAUCCAGCAGGUUUCUGGUCUGGCUGGAGGUGAGUGACAUCCAACUGGUUUCUGGUCUGGCUGGAGGUGAGUGACAUCCAACUGGUUUCUGGUCUGGCUGGGGUGAGUGACACCCAACUGGUUUCUGGUCUGGCUGGGGUAAGUGACAUCCAACUGGUUUCUGGUCUGGCUGGGGUGAGUGACAUCCAACUGGUUUCUGGUCUGGCUGGGGUAAGUGACAUCCAACUGGUUUCUGGUCUGGCUGGGGUGAGUGACAUCCAACUGGUUUCUGGUCUGGCUGGGGUAAGUGACAUCCAACUGGUUUCUGGUCUGGCUGGAGGUGAGUGACAUCCAACUGGUUUCUGGUCUGGCUGGAGGUGAGUGACAUCCAACUGGUUUCUGGUCUGGCUGGGGUGAGUGACAUCCAACUGGUUUCUGGUCUGGCUGGGGUAAGUGACAUCCAACUGGUUUCUGGUCUGGCUGGGGUGAGUGACAUCCAACUGGUUUCUGGUCUGGCUGGGGUAAGUGACAGAUCCCUUUCCCCUAUGGUUUUCUUUGUCGUAUUCAUUCUAAUACUGUAAAGAUUACACUUGUUCAGUGUUUGGGUCCACAGGAGCUCUGAGCCAAGUUAAGAAAACCCGUCGACAGGUCAAUUUCUCUGGCAGCUGCUGAACAAAUUAAAGCAACGUGACGCAGGAACAAUUUUCUUCUUUCUCUCUCUCUCUCUCUCUC